rnacentral:lncRNA from 1 species
GUGGUCCCACUACAAUGGUUCCUGCUACUUCAGGCUACUGUGUUGCAAGGCAGGGCUAUAACUCAUGCAAACCACCUUUGAAUUCUGGAGACAGUAAUGACCACUGUGAUAAUGGAGGAUAUCAUGGAGAUUAUCUUUAUUCUUCAGAACAAGGCUAUGAAACUUCUAGUGUGUAUACCACAACUGUAUCUACAGCAAACCUGGUAGGUAUUAGAAAAUUCUGCAGCAAUUGCAGUUUCUUGGGCAAGCCAUGUUCCAGUUCCAGUCAUACCGAACUGUGCAGGAGAUAAUGAAGCUCUUCGUACCUCUGAUAUUUCUUCACAGAAUGCCAUACAACCUGGCUUUGUACCUCCACCUGCACAAGGUAGUCCAG